ACGCUCGACACCUACGGGAGGCAGCAGUGGGGAAUAUUGCACAAUGGGGGAAACCCUGAUGCAGCAACGCCGCGUGAAGGAAGACGGUUUUCGGAUUGUAAACUUCUGUUCUUAGUGAAGAUAGUGACGGUAGCUAAGGAGCAAGCCACGGCUAACUACGUGCCGGCAGCCGCGGUAAUCUGAGGCGGGCUGGCAAGGC
rnacentral:rRNA from 1 species